rnacentral:piRNA from 1 species
UGGCUCAGAGGUUAAGAGCACCGACUGU